UUUGGAGGGCAAGUCUGGUGCCAGCAGCCGCGGUAAUUCCAGCUCCAAUAGCGUAUAUUAAAGUUGUUGCAGUUAAAAAGCUCGUAGUUGAAUUUCGGGAUCAAUACGUCGGUCGUGCCUCUGGUAUGUACUGGUGUUAUUGAUUUCUCCCUUCUGAUGAACCAUGAUGUCAUUCAUUUGGUGUUGUGUGGAGUCAGGACUGUUACUUUGAAAAAAUUAGAGUG
rnacentral:rRNA from 1 species